GACGUAGGGCGCGAGCGUUGUCCGGAUUUAUUGGGCGUAAAGAGCUCGUAGGCGGCUUGUCGCGUCUGCUGUGAAAACCUAAGGCUCAACCUUGGGCUUGCAGUGGGUACGGGCAGACUAGAGUGCGGUAGGGGUGACUGGAAUUCCUGGUGUAGCGGUGGAAUGCGCAGAUAUCAGGAGGAACACCGAUGGCGAAGGCAGGUCACUGGGCCGCAACUGACGCUGAGACGCGAAAGCGUGGGGAGCAAACAGG
rnacentral:rRNA from 1 species